rnacentral:misc_RNA from 1 species
CCGGAAUCGGCUGAUGGGCCUUCGCAGGAUCGAGCGUUUUGCGAUCGGGCUUGGCAUGCGACUGGGUGCCGAACAGCGAGAAGCCGAACACCGUGUUGGUCCACAUGUCGAGGCCGCCGAGCGCGACCCCGAUCACGGUGCCGAACUUCGACCACAGCGGCUUGACGUUGCGGGCCUUGAACAGGGCCUUGCCGACGGCCGAAUC